CACACCAAUCCGGUGCAAUUUCUUCUUUGACCUUGAAGCUAGUGUCUGGUGCCUGGAGACUCUCGGCUCCUGAAAUCUUCACUGAGAGAACUGCAAAUGCUAAACCCUUCUUGGUGUCAAAAUGUAGUGUGGAUGACCCUCAACUGCUAAAACUGGAGCUGAAAAACAGCUGCAUUGCACUGCAGCCUCAAAGCUUCAUACAGCCAGCUGUAAGCUUUAGAAUUCAAAUAGAUAUACACGAUUAUGCAGAGGGACAACAUACCACUGUAUAUGAGUGAAAGCUAUGGGAAAAAAGCAUCUAUUUGUUGAGACAAAGAAGACCAGCAGUCUUACUAUUCAAGGAAGAAUUCAAGAUAUUUUUUAAAACCACAAUACACAAUCCAUUUUAAUAAGGUAUUAAUCAAUUGCAUGGAGGGUAAUCUUUGUGACUGGAUCUCAUCUCUUUUGUGUGAAGUUGGAGGAAGAGGAAGAGAAAAGGGUCUACUGCAUCUGUGUCAUCACUCCCAUUGCCUCAAAAUCCCUCCAGGUUCCCUUUACAAAUCUAAGACUGCAUACAUGGGGAAGGAAGUAUGUGGGGAGACAGUCACCCCACCUGAGAAGACCACAGAGAUUUCACAGGAGAGGCAAUACAGCCUGAAGCUAUGGACUUUUUCUGCCGUUGUCUUUUGUGUGGUGCAAGCUCCAAAGGAAGUAGUAGUAGAAAAGCAUAAUGUGGCUUCGCUGGAGUUGCCUGACCAGGAACAGGAAGAAAGCCACAAGGAGAUUUGGUGCUAAUUAUGGAGAAAGUGCACUGCAUGCUUUUAUCCAGGAAGUCAUCAUAGAGAAAUCAAUGUCAUUGAUUCUAAUGCUGAAGCCAAAGGUAGGAACAAGGAAAAUGCCUGCAAUAACCUAAAGUAUCCUGAGAUGCUGUUGGAAAUGAUGCUCUCAGUAUGUUUUUCCAUCUAAUGCAAGAACCAAUUAAUGUUGUUAAGGAUGUGGAAAACUAUUUCUUGAACAAGUAUUGUUCUUGAAUAAUAGUUGAUCCCAACUCAGUUAUUGCCAGUAAAGAAUUUUCUUAGCCAUCAGGACCAGCUAACUCAACAAAGAGACCUCUACAUCAAAUUGAAUUAAAUGAACCAGAUACUUUAAUAUUCUUUUCAAGGUUCUGUUUUGCUCUUGACUGGCUGGCCAAGUGAGCAAAGAUACUUUAUUUAAAAAUAUAAGAAAAACUCAUUGCAAUGAGAGAAGCUGUGUAAGUUAACCCAAGAUACUGAGAUGCAAUUGAAUACUCUUCACAGACACUGGAGAAGAUAGUGUUGAUAAUAAAGCCUUGGCUAUAUGCACAGCACAGAGACAGAAAAGUGUAACGGAUUUAGCAAUCUUGCCUUUGUUCAUUCAUAAGUUCCACUUGUAAACCUAAAAGGAUUCUAUAAAAACUUAUGAGAUUUAUGGAUUAUCAGUCAAAUGCCCCUGAUAAAAUAUUGCUAGCCAAGCAGCAAAAAUCAGCAUGAUUACUCAACAAAGCUUAGAAACCCCCAAAAUCCUGGACAUUUCAGUAGCUUUUGUCUAACUGCUCAUCAGUUGUUUUGAAAGAUGCAGAAGAGAGUCUAUCCUUCAAAAGAUGCUUCAAACAUUAGAAACACAAGCUAAACAUCUAUAUUCCAAUUCAAUUAAAAAGUGGCAAUGAAAACAAAUGAAACUCUGCCUUGAAACCUAUGUUGAUUCUGCAUGUUACCUUUAUGCCACCCUGAUCUGCUGUAUUGGGCUCAGUUAGAAUACUUUUUUGUUAUGGUUAUGAAGCUUCCAUAGUGGACUGAUACUUACUCUAUUAGCUAACAGAAGAAAAUGACUCUGAUCUCUGCUGCUCUCUAGAAAAGGUAAGCAAACACUUAUAGGUGGCAUUGGUCCUUAGGCAAUCUGCUUUGGCUCAUCUUGCCCUGUACUAUUUCUGUAGGUGAAAUAUAGGAACAUAGUGAUAUAGAUUUGGCCUAACAACAUCCUGUCAGCCUGAAUUCAUGAACAUCUCACAGCCACUCUAAUUGCCUCUCUAUCAUCUUCAAGACUAUUCUGGAUGCAAGCCUUCAAAGUCCAAUUAUUACUUGCACAGAGUCUUGGAUGCCUGAAACUUUGAUAAAAUAUCUUAUAAAUCUCUACCCAAUGUCUUCCUCCUACAGAAACUGGGUCCAACAAAGAAGUAUUCGUAACAAAGAUUUUGCUAUGUCUGGCCAAACUCCAGAAGAAAGAUACAACAAAAAGAUUUCUGAGAAAAAAAUUCUAAUUUUUCUCAGAAAAAUUAUUACACGUCAUGUGCAUGGAAGUUGCCAAACCAAUUAACCAGCUAGAAGGAUUACUGUUAAUAGCACCAGUUUUCCUAUAACUUGAUAUUGCUGGAUAGUUUUGAUGAACUGCAAAAGCAUUUUUAGUUUGCUUUCUGUUGCCACCCUGGAACUUUUCUUUAUUAGUGCCACUUUGUUUUCUACGAUUCCUUGCAAAUGAAGGAAAACAACUUUUCUGCUUGUAUAUGUUGAUAAUAUAAUUUGGUUACUGAGAACAAACAAGAUUGUACAAAAACAAGAUUGGGUACAGGCCUGGACAGGACAUAGGUGUCCUGACUGUGACAAAGGUGACCUGUGUGCUUGCUUGAUUAACAACUACUGGGAACUUCAAGGUCCCUGCUCUCCCUUCUUGUGGUCUUUGUACUGGACCUGGAGACUCCAAUAGAGAGCAUUCCAUGUCAAGAAGGAGGGCAAGUGGGCACUCUAUCAAAUGACAGGGCAGGAGUUACAUGGAGCAGGGGCUUUUCACUGGUGGUAUCCAUUGUAUGCCUCACUCUUCCCAGACCUGUUCUCUUUUGGCCUGUAUUUUGGAGCUUUAUAAUUUAGGAAGAGUUUGGAAGAACUGGUUGACAAGUCUUAUCAGUUGCUGACAUAUGAGCGGAUUUUAUUUGCUGCUAUUCUGGGCUUCUGGUGCAUCAGGGUUUACACCAGCAUAAUAGAGUUGGCCAGGAUGCCAGAAGGGAUACAAUUUAUGAGCUUUCUCCAUUAUCUGCACAGCAGAACACUGAAUGGUGACACCAGGGACCUAGAAGGUGCAGGGCUUGUCAGUCCAACCCCUGCACAGUCUCAUCAAGGCUUACCUUAAGGCAAUUGGAGCAACUGAGCCAAAUUGGGCCCCACAGGCUGCUCCUAAGGGGGCCCCUGCACCAGGGCAACCUAGAUGGAUUUUAUUUAUAUUUAUAAGAUUUUGCAGACUUUGUCUGUGAACUGGGGCCCUACCCAAAAAAAAAAAAAACAAACAAGUUGCGCCCCACUGCUUCAGAUUGGGCCCCACUGGCUAGCCCUGAGUCUUAUAGCCUGAGUUGCCCAUCCCUUGCAUGAAGUCUUGGGUUUGCAAUUUUGGGAGAGGGGAGACUGCGGCACUGGGGAGAGGGCAGGUUGGUGAGGCCCCAUAGACUUAGAAGCCCUAGCCUUCAGCCUACUUAGCCUAUGCAUAAAUCCGGCACUGGACCUAGACCUGUCUGAAGGGUCUAUUAAAGACAUGGCUAUCUAAAUACAUAUUUUUGAGUGGGUUUCUAUUCUGAAUAAUAUUUGCCAGCUAGAUGCACUGUGGUAUGAAUGGGGAUAUGAAAAACCUGCUAUAGGAACAGCAUACUUAGUGGCACUUCACUACAGAUUUAAUGCUGUUUGGUGAUACAGAUGGGUGAUACAGAAAUAGUGACCAUGUGAAGGUUUGUGUGAUUAACAUGUGGAAAAGUUAUUUGUGCUAUUCGGUUACCAUCAGCAGAAUGUGGCUGAAUUAUAGACUCCAAAACCAUGUUGUAGAACCUUGUCCAGAAUAUGGGACAACUGGCUAAAUACACCUCAGGUCACCACAAGUCUGGCAAAGAGCACUGGAAAACAGAGGAUCUUUUUUUUUUUUUGCACUCUGUUAACCUUCUGCUGUGGUUUUUCUCACCUUGAAAAACACUUGGUACAUGUUGCAAAUGGCACCAGCACAAGAGAAAAAUUAUAAGGCCUAAGUUUUGUGUAGUUCCAGGUAAACAAUUUAGUCACACAACGUUCCACCGAGGGGGAAAAUAAAUAAGAAACUUCCUGUCUGGGUGUGACAGAAUGAAAAGCACUCACAAGAAAAUCCCAAAUGGGCAAAGCACAUCUGUUUACAUGUGUAUGUGUGCCUCUGACUAGGGGAGCAUAAAGGACCUUCUUAACAAAGUGUAUUGGUUCUGAAUACUCAACAGGGAAAAAAUGCAGACACAUUAUUUAAUGAAGUGGAAUAUUCAUACAGCAAUAAGCAAAAUCUUUCCCAAGUGUCAAAGAGUGUUAUAGAUUAUCAUUGCUUUAGUUCUGAUGCAUGGCUAAGCUACAUUAUUGAUUGAUAGCCUCAGAUGAAUCUAUAUUUGCCUGGGCUUCACCGAUUGGCAGACUGAAGUACUGAAAAUGCUAGGAUAUUUCCUAGUCUGUUAGAAAGAACCCUGGAAUUUGGUAAAUGAUCCAAGACUUCUUGUUUAUUAGACAAGUAUAAAGGACACUGAUGCUUUUCUCCCCCAAAACAGUAAACUCAGAAACCCUACUCAGGUAUUCACUUCCAUAGGUCCCCAGAACACCCUCCUCCAUUGUUCCCUUCCCUGCUACAAUGUAUUGAAAAGUACUUUGGUCUGAACAGGAUAUCUUGAUGUGUUAAGUGGAAUAUGCUCAGAAUCUUUCACAUGAAUGGGAAUCCUGCAUGGUUGGGGGAUCCAUUCACAUGGAGGAUUCUAAGGGUUGACAAUACAACACACUAAAGCUUCCCCCUUCAGAUCUUCCUACUCAAGAUGUAAAGGGCUGCAGCUGCAGCCCAUGGGAACAGGAAUGGUUAACAUGUCUCCUCCCUCCCUUCAAAUCCCUGAACUGGUUAGAGAGAUUUUUCCCUGGGGGAAAUUCCUUGUUGUAAGCAUAUAGCCCAAGACACCACUGAUGAUGCUAAAAAUCUGGAAGGGAGACAAUUAUGCACCUGUCUCCUAGAAUAGAUGGAAUAAAAGUGUAGGGCACUCAUGAUGUGAAGAGGUGUGGCUGUGCUUCCGGCCUCACUUCUGACAUCAUAUUCUUGGGCUAGAACAGCAGUGUGACCCCACUUCUUGCACUGCUUCUUGACUUCCUUUACACCAUGUAAUGUGUGAAGGGAUCUCAAGUGUACACUGAAACACUUAUGGCAUUUACUCCAUGAGCUAGGAAGCUGAAGCUUUGUACAUACAUAGUCCAAUAUACCCUUAUUUCUAUAAAAGUCUGAAGGGGAGACAUUUAUGCAACAAUUUCCUGAACUAGGAGACUCCUAAUAUAAAUUUUGAAAUGGUAACGAUCAGUGCCAAAUUUUCGCAUAGGCUAGGUAAACUACAGCUCAAGACUAUGAGGGGCCUCUAAAUACAACCUCACCAGCACUAGGUUUUACAUAAUAAUGCUCUUUUGGGAUGGGGAGGGGGUAAUACUAUGGGGCUUCUAAAACUUGACAUAGCUUAGGGCCUCAGCAUGUCUUAAUCUGGCCCUAGAUAUCAUACCUCCGAAGCCCUUCAGAAAGAUAAAAGUUCCUAUACACGUACAAUACACACUGAUAACUAGAGAAGUCUGAAAGGCAGACAUUUGGCUCUCCCUAGAAAUAGGAGACAAUAACUGUACCCCAAACACUAUAGCUCUGUAAAUGAAGUAUUUUCAACAUAAAUCUAACAGGUUUCCAAAAUUAUUCUCAAUAUUCAUCAUUCUGCAUUAAUGGUAAUGUAAGAAAACAGGGAACACCUUAUCAUGCAAAUGUGUUUGCUUACACUAUAGACCUAACUAGCAGGUAUUUUUAGAAGAUGGUCACUUUGAAGACAAGAAUGCAUAGCAAUGGAGGAAGAGGACUGGUACUCCUCAGCAGCCACAGAUUUGGCCUCAGGACUUCCAAUUGCAUAUUCCAGCACUAUAAUGUGUAUAAUAAUUCUACAUUAUCUGUUAUGUUAUGCUUAUUAGGCCUUGAUUACUGUAUAUUUUUAUUAUAUUGAAAAAAAUCAUAUCCUUUUAUCAUUGUUGUGUUUUGUUCUUGUAAAUGUAAACUUUCUUGCAAGAAUAUCUAUUCUCAUAUGUAUGGUAAACAAAAAACAAGCCUAUAAAACAGAAUAAAAACAUA